UGCAAGUCGAGCGGAAACGAGUUAUCUGAACCUUCGGGGAACGAUAACGGCGUCGAGCGGCGGACGGGUGAGUAAUGCCUAGGAAAUUGCCCUGAUGUGGGGGAUAACCAUUGGAAACGAUGGCUAAUACCGCAUGAUGCCUACGGGCCAAAGAGGGGGACCUUCGGGCCUCUCGCGUCAGGAUAUGCCUAGGUGGGAUUAGCUAGUUGGUGAGGUAAGGGCUCACCAAGGCGACGAUCCCUAGCUGGUCUGAGAGGAUGAUCAGCCACACUGGAACUGAGACACGGUCCAGACUCCUACGGGAGGCAGCAGUGGGGAAUAUUGCACAAUGGGCGCAAGCCUGAUGCAGCCAUGCCGCGUGUGUGAAGAAGGCCUUCGGGUUGUAAAGCACUUUCAGUCGUGAGGAAGGUAGUGUAGUUAAUAGCUGCAUUAUUUGACGUUAGCGACAGAAGAAGCACCGGCUAACUCCGUGCCAGCAGCCGCGGUAAUACGGAGGGUGCGAGCGUUAAUCGGAAUUACUGGGCGUAAAGCGCAUGCAGGUGGUUUGUUAAGUCAGAUGUGAAAGCCCGGGGCUCAACCUCGGAAUUGCAUUUGAAACUGGCAGACUAGAGUACUGUAGAGGGGGGUAGAAUUUCAGGUGUAGCGGUGAAAUGCGUAGAGAUCUGAAGGAAUACCGGUGGCGAAGGCGGCCCCCUGGACAGAUACUGACACUCAGAUGCGAAAGCGUGGGGAGCAAACAGGAUUAGAUACCCUGGUAGUCCACGCCGUAAACGAUGUCUACUUGGAGGUUGUGGCCUUGAGCCGUGGCUUUCGGAGCUAACGCGUUAAGUAGACCGCCUGGGGAGUACGGUCGCAAGAUUAAAACUCAAAUGAAUUGACGGGGGCCCGCACAAGCGGUGGAGCAUGUGGUUUAAUUCGAUGCAACGCGAAGAACCUUACCUACUCUUGACAUCCAGAGAACUUUCCAGAGAUGGAUUGGUGCCUUCGGGAACUCUGAGACAGGUGCUGCAUGGCUGUCGUCAGCUCGUGUUGUGAAAUGUUGGGUUAAGUCCCGCAACGAGCGCAACCCUUAUCCUUGUUUGCCAGCGAGUAAUGUCGGGAACUCCAGGGAGACUGCCGGUGAUAAACCGGAGGAAGGUGGGGACGACGUCAAGUCAUCAUGGCCCUUACGAGUAGGGCUACACACGUGCUACAAUGGCGCAUACAGAGGGCGGCCAACUUGCGAAAGUGAGCGAAUCCCAAAAAGUGCGUCGUAGUCCGGAUUGGAGUCUGCAACUCGACUCCAUGAAGUCGGAAUCGCUAGUAAUCGUGGAUCAGAAUGCCACGGUGAAUACGUUCCCGGGCCUUGUACACACCGCCCGUCACACCAUGGGAGUGGGCUGCAAAAGAAGUAGGUAGUUUAACCUUCGGGGGGACGCUUACCAC
rnacentral:rRNA from 1 species